AAUCGAACCCAGAACCUUCUUGCUGCAAGGCAACAGCUCUACCAACUGCGCCACUGUGCAGCAAAAACAAUAUAGUACAAUAGUGUAGGCUGUUUAGUUUUUAUACAUUUAAAUAAAAUGUUGUCAUAUGGUGAAACACGGACAUCGCCAUGUUGUUUACGCUGCGAUGCAUUCUGGGUAAAUUACAUGCUAGGUCCCGUAGUGCUAGCUAACCAGCCAAAAAUCGAUGGCAAUGUAGAAAUCACAAGGAGCAAUGAAGACGAGGAGGACCAAACGAAGUAAGAGGAAAAAACUUACCAGAAGAAGCUGCUGCUAACUUCUGCUUCAUAACUGAAACAAUGAAAGCCACGUAUUUCUGGUCGGACUGUGUGAUCCGAUUCCCGGAGUCGUCCAUGCAGAGAAACAUGGAUGACGUCUGUCCCUUGAUGACCACAUGACCCGGUUUAACGGACUUUAUCUGCAACACACCUGGACAAACAAACAGAUUCUCCUUCCUGCACUGAAUAAAACUGAAGUUCUGUACGUACCUGUGUAGAGACGCACCUCUCUGAGCUGAUUCCUGAAGGCAAAG